CCUACGGGAGGCAGCAGUGAGGAAUAUUGGUCAAUGGGCGCUAGCCUGAACCAGCCAAGUAGCGUGAAGGAUGACUGCCCUAUGGGUUGUAAACUUCUUUUAUAUGGGAAUAAAGUGCAGUAUGUAUACUGCUUUGCAUGUACCUUAUGAAUAAGGAUCGGCUAACUCCGUGCCAGCAGCCGCGGUAAUACGGAGGAUCCGAGCGUUAUCCGGAUUUAUUGGGUUUAAAGGGAGCGUAGGCGGGUCGUUAAGUCAGUUGUGAAAGUUUGCGGCUCAACCGUCAAAUUGCAGUUGAUACUGGCAGCCGUGAGUACAGUAGAGGUAGGCGGAAUUCGUGGUGUAGCGGUGAAAUGCUUAGAUAUCACGAAGAACUCCGAUUGCGAAGGCAGCCUGCUGG
rnacentral:rRNA from 1 species